GGCGAUGUAGCUCAGAUGGUCAGAGCAUACGGCUCAUAUCCGUAGGGUCACUGGUUCAACUCCAGUCAUCGCCA
rnacentral:tRNA from 2 species